GAACGGCGGGCAGGUUUUUAUCGCUUCCCUGCUCUGAGGCUCGCGCGAAGGAGAGCGAUGUCAGCGCGAGCGCCGGAUC
rnacentral:sRNA from 1 species